AGAGCCUUCGCUACUUCUCUCCUCUUCUGUGCUGCUCGAACCCGUUCUCCCAAUCUAGGGUUCCAGAGAUCGCGAGGAAGAACCGAAGAAGAGUAGUAGUUCGGUAAAGAGGAAGGAAUGAACCGGAAGCUUAGAAUCCGAAGGAAGCCUACGAAGCGGCGAAGGAGAAGGGGUUUCGCCCAGGUUGUAGUGGAUUAUCCCGCGUCCGAUUGCUACAUUUACGCUGCUGUCCUCGACCCGCUGCCCCCUGAUUCGUUGCCUUCGUCUGCUGCCCCCUCUCCUUCCUCCAGAGAUCGUAGCUAUUGUCAUAACAAACAGAAUGGACUGCCCUGCGAGAUUCGGUAUGAAAUCGACGGAAUGAGAAAAGUGAGGUAUUAAUCUACUUUUCGGAGUUAUCAGAGGAAUUCAAGAUGCAGUGUGCUGAGAUGGUAAGAUUGCUUCUUUACGGUGUACAGACAAAGGGAUAUCUGUAGUGCAUUUGCAGUGGCUAAUUUCAAAAUGACACUGCAGGCACCUGUUACUGAUGAUGAGCACUGGUGAGUAUAUAUUUCUUACUAAUGGUUACUUGGUGAGAUUCUGUUGUAUCAUCUGGUCUUGUUUGUGUUUGUGCCCUUCUUGUUGCUGUAUCUGCAAACUAAAUACUAAACUUUAUUUGUAAACUUUAUCAUUGUGCUGUAUGUAGACAAUACUCUUUUUAUGCCUAUACUAGCAUGUGAAUCAGUGGUGGUUAUUUAGGAUUGGUGUUCUUGUUUCAUUGACAUCUAAGAUCAUUUAGAUUGAUGAAUUUGUUGAAUGCUGUUUUGCUAACUUGACUAUAAUUCUGAUAUAUUUACUUGAUCGAUAAUUGCUUUAUAUAUGGAUUGGCAAGGGUAAUAUUCAUUGUGUGUAAAAGAAAAUGUUUGUUAAUUUAAGAUUUUAUCUGUCUGAUAUGGACUAUUAGGCUAGUAGCUGAUAAUAAAUAAGUCUUUAUAAAUAACAGGUGACAAGCACCAAUUCUGGUUAACAAUAAUUUAUUGGUGUAGAUGUUAUGAAAAUUUACAGAAAUUGAAAUUCUUGGGUCAAUUCUAUUGGAUAAAGUUACUAGAUAGAAGGUUUUAUCAGUGAUAGAUUUAAGCAUGGAUCAAGAUUUUUUUGUUACAAGGAAGUCAGAUUGGGUGAUUUAAGCCAGAUUUGGAUCCUCACUUUUCCUUAUCUAAUUGCACACCGAAUAGGUAAGAAUUUCAUCCUAGUUGCAAUUUUAGCUGAUGAAAUUAUGGGGCACCACUCUGACUUUGACUGAGAUGGAUUUGUAUAGAAGUAGAGAGGGUGAGGCGAGUUUGGCUAUGGAGAGCACUGUUUAUCUCAAAAUCACAAGUGAGCAAUUACAACAAUGCUGACAGUAAGAAUGGUAGUAAUACUCUUUGAAAUUCCAUUUAAAAAUGUGCUUAAUUGAUUUCUCAUGCUAUUUCACUAUGAUUUUGUUCACAAGGUUUCAAUUCUGCAUUAAGAGAGGGUGAUGGUGGCAGCCUUUCAAUUUUCUAUAUAUCUGGGAAGACUAUGAAAAUUAUUACAGCUCUUUCAUUAUGUUUGAAUCAUUCCUAAUAUUUUGAGCAUUGUAAGUGGUAACCAAACAAUCAUUUUCUCGUUGUACUGUAAUGUACUCGGAUCCUGUCGAGUCUUCUUUUCUCCAAUUUUUAGUAGUCUCUCACCUGAUGCUUUACUGAAUAUGAGUAUGUAGGAAAAUUUCAUCAAUUUUCCAGUGUGUGCCUUUCUCAUGUGCAAAGCCCAUUAGUCCUUCUGCCGACUUGGACAUGUGAACUCACUACAAUGUUGGACUGUUUAAGCUUUUGGAACAAGUGGACAACCAACCAUUAUUCUGUCCGUAAUAAAAGCCACAAGUUAUGUCUUCACUCUGAAGAGCACAUACACUUGAUGCAGUAAGAACUUUUUUAAUCCUAAUAACAUCAUCUUAGUAAGACAUGCUUGGCUGAGUUUGAGUCUUGCAUGGUUUUUAAAUGGAGCAAAAAUGCAAGGAACUUAACAAAAAUGGAGAAAAAAUGGAAAUUAACCAUUAUAGAAACUUAAGAAGGUUUUGAAGUUGGUCCUCCGAAAUAGCAUUAUCAUGGCUUUGAUGGACUUUUUUAACAUAUGCUUUAUAUUUGGAAUAGGUGAUUUUUAUGUGUGGUUCUCAAUUGUGACCACUGCAAUAUCUAGUUGGUUUUGAAAGUUCAAAUUCCAUUUUUUAGUAUCAGUAAUAUAAACUUCCACAGAUGUUAGUUUUCACUAUCAUUCUCUAUUACACUUCAUCAAGAACACUUGAUAAAAUACUCCACAUGAUUGCAUAUAUUUUAACCAAUGACAAGAAUGUUUAUGCUGAGUAAAAAAAGAUUAAAAUGAGAAAACUAAGGAGAAAAAAAGAAAUGGAAGGAAGAUUUCCUCUUUUUGCUUCUAUGUUUGUCAACUAUGAGGUAUGAACAUCGAUAUGAGACACAAACAUGGUAUGAUUUUUAUACAUUUCACACCAAAUGAUAGAAGUUGGAUGUAGCCUAAAAGGGAUCCAGUGAUUAAUAAAUAUAUUUUCCCCAUAUGUUAUUUAUUUUUUUAUGCUUUAUAUAAUAUAUAUGAUCUAUGAUUAUCAUAUACAAAAAUUAUGAUAAAUAUGGCAACAAUUUAUGUGGCUAGCAAAUGUUAACAAAUUCUAAAACAUAUACAAAAAAAUAAGGAGCAAAUCAAAUCCAAAUUACAUAUAUUGACAAUAUCCAACAUGUCUAAAGCCUUAUAAAAGAUGAUAUAAGCAUCCUACAUAUACAUGAUACAUUUAUAUAAAUAAGUGUUGAUGGUAUGAGAAUUUUAGCAGGAUUUGAAAUAGUUGACAUGUGUCAAAAAAAGUGUUAAUUGAGUGGCAAGUGCAACCUGGACAUGACAUCGACACAAGUAAUAUGAAGUUCCUGUGGUUCUUUAGUAUUUAAAAAUAGAAUAUUGGAAAGAAGAAAAUAAGAGACUCUGAUCUGAUCUAUCACAUUCCUGUCCUCUCAACAUCUACCUGCUAACAUGUCCUGACUGUAAAGAUAGCAAACUUCUUGUGAUCUCCUCUUUUGGACCUUGUCAUGCACAUCAUAUUGAGUUACUUAGUAUAAUUGCAUGUCUUACAUCCACCGAUGAUGUUUAUUUGACAGUGAGUGAGGAGGAGAAGAGAACUGAUUUUUGCGUUUCUCCUUUCUUUUUCUUACAAGAUACAAUUAAGCUCUUUUGUUCUUUUGAUUGCUAUUUAUCCUUCUAAUAGUUCCUCAUCAUACACUAUAUCAUUUUGUCAAGAAAUCUAAUGAUAGAACUUGACUGCAACAACUUUGUAAGUUUUAGGAACUAAUUGUUACAAAUUGGAAAGUUGGAAUUUGACAUGAAUUUUUUAUGACUUUUGAGUUACUUUUUGUUGAUGAGGACUUCGUGUGAUGAGCUCAUAGAUGGGGAAAGUUACAUGUGCUUUUACUUCCGUAGGAGAUGUCUUUAUUUCUGGUUGUGGGAAGAUUGGUUUAGUAUUACCUGUCUAUUUAAUAGUCAAGUACUUCUAGUUUCAUUUGUUGGCUCAAUGGACACUCCACAUGCAAGCACAUGGUGUAUUAGGCCCACCACCACAAUCUACCAAUUUAUACCAGAUAAACUUUGAUAUCUGUGGUGUUAGUAUCCAGUUUCAUGAUCUGUGAUUGUUCAUGUGACUGUGAUUGCAUGAAAUAAGCUGUGCUGUGGGCUAUGAUAAACAAACCUAGAAAGGUUUUCUUUUGGAACAUCGGAAAACUAGUGGAAAGUGAAAAUUAAGUCAAGCUGUUUCUUUCUGCUUGAGGGAGUUCAUCCUCUUUUCUCCUUACAUGUAAUGGUGGCAAAGUUAGAUUGGCAAGAUCCGAGAAACAUGGGUGACAAGAUGUCGAACUGUUCCUUCUAUCACUAUCAUGUGGUUUUGAGAGAAAGGAAUAUAGUGUAGAUGGUACUUGAAAUGACCCAAUUAAUCUUUGGAGCAGGGACAAGAGGAUCCUUAACCUAUGCCUUACCAUUGUCAUUGCCAUAUUCUCCUUCUCAUGUUUUCGUCUUUAACCAUCAGAGUAAUAAGCAUUUCUUGUGCUGUGGAUGCACCCUUGUCUAGCUAUACGUUACAGUAUCAGAUUUUAUUUGAAUACUGCUGUCCUUCCCCACGUAUUGUAUUCUUAUAUUAUUGCAGAUAAGUCUAAUAAGGAACAUUGCCUCACUGAAGAUUUCUAUGGCAGAUGAAGAGAAACAUGGCCACCGAAGCAAAGGAUUCAAUGAUCAUUUUCCUACAAUAACAGGUUGAAUCAUUUCACAAUGAUAACCCAAGAGGACAUGAUGGAUUUGCUGAAACUCACAGGAAGAAACACAACAUAAUGGGUAGGACAUACAGAAGAGUACAAAAACUCACUUUCCAGCUAACAUGGGGGUGGUUGUUUUGCAGAUGAAAGAGAACACAUUGUCACACACCAUGGUGGCUCAGUAUCUUCUUGAGAACAGUGGCCUUCAGCUUCAGAAAUGAAAUAUAGUCAGCAGUCCUCUGAAGCAAUGCCUGCAACCCAACACUCCUGCAACCAGGCACAACCUUCUUUAGCUUCCUAAGCUUACUGAGCUCCAGAUGCUGCAGGGGCUUCCUCUCUCUCAGGGACACCAUUCCUCUACUUCCCCUUCUUGCACGAGGUGAAGCCCUUCUCAUCGCUGAGGACCUGGUCAUGCAGAGGACAGUGAUGAGAGGAAGGGAAGGCAGGGAGGAGGGUAUAAAUAGAGGCUGCAACUGGCCAUGCAAGUGACAGUGGUGAGGGAUGGGGAAAGGCAGGAGGUAAAGCAGACAUGAGGCCAGGUUAUCUCACUCUGGCUGCAUGUGGAUAGAAUUAUUGGCUUCUCUCUCAUGCAAAGCCAAUCAAGUCAAGCAAUAGUACCACAGGAAGACACUCCUCACCUCCUGAGUUGACAUAUAUGAGUUUUCAGUGUGCCAAGGAAGGACAAGGCACAGUCUUCUUGUUACUGAUAAACGAGGGUCCAAGCAGGUGAUACAGGAAGACAUUGAUGCAGAGUCAUUGUUUGUUGGACCCCAAGAACAAGCUUGAGUUUGUUAUCUUUCUAUGUCAUUUCCAUGUCUUAGGUUGCUCACCUUGUUUGGACCUAAUUUAGCGCGAUUACCCGACAAUAAUUUAGGGUUGAGCAUGUCAAACUUGGAUUUAGUCUAGCAUAGCUUUUCUUCAUCAGAUUAUGAGAUAUCCCUCUCAUGGCAUAUGAUGCUAGAGCUACAAUCAUUGAUCAAAGAUUUGACCACAUGAUCAUGGAUGCUCUGGUGGAUGCUAAGGUGUCGUGUAUGUACAUUUGUUUCAUUAAACGCAAAGAUGUCAGUUAACUUAGUCAGUAAAUGAUUAAUAAAAUCUAUUACAUG